GAACAGUAACAAAGACUGGAAUAACUGCGAAGAAUUUGUGAAAAAAAUUAUGUACGUACAUAUAUACAUAUUUACACACAUUUUUGAAUGCCUGAAAAGUGUUUUUAUAAUUGUUUACUAGCUAAUUAUUUUGAAAGCCAAUAAAUUGUGCACUUUACUAAAUAUGUGGCAAGUAGCAAAAAAGUAAUUGUCAAUUAAAUGAACUUCAUUAGUAGCAAAUUUAAUUUGGAGUAAAAACUCUAUUCGAAUUGGGUCUGUUCUCUGGAUUUAUAACUGCCGUUUAAUCAGCAGCUCACAAGGAAGCUUUUAAGCCUCAAGUAAACUCAGGCUCUCUGUCUGCCAUCUCCAUAAAUUUCGCGCAUUAGUUCGGACCUAGUAAAUGCACUUUAUAGCAAUAGAAUGAUUUAAAGAAAAAAAAAGUAUACUGGCU